AACGAACGCUGGCGGCAGGCUUAACACAUGCAAGUCGAACGCAUCCUUCGGGGUGAGUGGCAGACGGGUGAGUAACGCGUGGGAACGUGCCCUUCAGUUCGGGAUAACCCAGGGAAACUUGGGCUAAUACCGGAUACGUGCGAGAGCAGAAAGAUUUAUCGCGGAAGGAUCGGCCCGCGUCUGAUUAGCUAGUUGGUAGGGUAAUGGCCCACCAAGGUGACGAUCAGUAGCUGGUCUGAGAGGAUGAUCAGCCACAUUGGGGCUGAGACACGGCCGCAACUCCUACGGGAGGCAGCAGUGGGGAAUAUUGGACGAUGGGCGCAAGCCUGAUCCAGCCAUGCCGCGUGAGUGAUGAAGGCCUUAGGGUUGUAAAGCUCUUUCGUCCGGGACGAUAAUGACGGUACCGGAAGAAGAAGCCCCGGCUAACUUCGUGCCAGCCGCCGCUGUAA
rnacentral:rRNA from 1 species